rnacentral:rRNA from 1 species
AACGAACGCUGGCGGCAUGCCUAACACAUGCAAGUCGAACGCUUCUCUUCGGAGAGGAGUGGCGCACGGGUGAGUAACGCGUGGGAACCUGCCCCGGAGUGGGGGAUAACCCGGCGAAAGCCGGGCUAAUACCGCAUACGGCCUAUGGGCGAAAGAUUUAUCGCUCUGGGAGGGGCCCGCGUCCGAUUAGCUAGUUGGUGGGGUAACGCCCACCAAGGCGACGAUCGGUAGCUGGUCUGAGAGGAUGAUCAGCCACACUGGGACUGAGACACGGCCCAGACUCCUACGGGAGGCAGCAGUGGGGAAUAUUGGACAAUGGGGCAACCCUGAUCCAGCAAUGCCGCGUGAGUGAUGAAGGCCUUAGGGUUGUAAAGCUCUUUCGCACGCGACGAUG